AUACUAAGAACUUUCCAGGAGAGUGGAUUGGUGCCUUCGGGAACUUUAGAUACAGGUGCUGCAUGGCUGUCGUCAGCUCGUGUCGUGAGAUGUUGGGUUAAGUCCCGCAACGAGCGCAACCCUUUUCCUUAUUUGCCAGCGGGUUAAGCCGGGAACUUUAAGGAUACUGCCAGUGACAAACUGGAGGAAGGCGGGGACGACGUCAAGUCAUCAUGGCCCUUACGGCCAGGGCUACACACGUGCUACAAUGGUCGGUACAAAGGGUUGCUACCUCGCGAGAGGAUGCUAAUCUCAAAAAGCCGAUCGUAGUCCGGAUCGCAGUCUGCAACUCGACUGCGUGAAGUCGGAAUCGCUAGUAAUCGCGGAUCAGAAUGCCGCGGUGAAUACGUUCCCGGGCCUUGUACACACCGCCCGUCACACCAUGGGAGUUUGUUGCACCAGAAGUAGGUAGUCUAACCGCAAGGAGGACGCUUACCACGGUGUGGCCGAUGACUGGGGUGAAGUCGUAACAAGGUAAGCGUAGAUGA
rnacentral:rRNA from 1 species